CAGGAUCAUGCCCUGAGCCAAAGGCAGACGCUUAACUGCUGAGCCACCCAGGCAUCCCCUGUAGACUCCAUGCUGCGCAUGGAGCCCAACUCGGGGCCGAACUUGAACCUGACAUCAAGAGCAGAUGCUUAACCAACUGAGCCACACAGACUCCAAGAGUCAUUGAGACUCGAAGAUGUGAAAAGCCAUGUAAUAAUAGCUGGGUAUAAUACGUCAUUGAGGCUGCAAAUGCAUGAAGAAGUGGAUGACUUAAUAACAAGCAGUAAACAUA